CUGGGAUAACAGAUGGAAACGUCUGCUAAUACCGGAUACUCAGCCUUGUGGGCAUCCGCAGGGUUGGAAAGCUCCGGCGGUCAAGGAUGGACUCGCGUCCUAUUAGCUAGUUGGUGGGGUAACGGCCUACCAAGGCGACGACGGGUAGCCGGCCUGAGAGGGCGACCGGCCACAUUGGGACUGAGAUACGGCCCAGACUCCUACGGGAGGCAGCAGUGGGGAAUAUUGCACAAUGGGCGAAAGCCUGAUGCAGCAACGCCGCGUGCGGGAUGACGGCCUUCGGGUUGUAAACCGCUUUCAGCAGGGACGAAGCGCAAGUGACGGUACCUGCAGAAGAAGCACCGGCUAACUACGUGCCAGCAGCCGCGGUGAUACGUAGGGUGCGAGCGUUGUCCGGAUUUAUUGGGCGUAAAGAGCUUGUAGGCGGUUAGUCGCGUCGUAAGUGCAAACUCAGGGCUUAACCCUGAGCCUGCUUUCGAUACGGGCUGACUAGAGGAAGGUAGGGGAGAAUGGAAUUCCCGGUGGAGCGGUGGAAUGCGCAGAUAUCGGGAGGAACACCAGUGGCGAAGGCGGUUCUCUGGACCUUUCCUGACGCUGAGAAGCGAAAGCGUGGGGAGCAAACAGGCUUAGAUACCCUGGUAGUCCACGCCGUAAACGGUGGGUACUAGGUGUGGGGGACAUUCCACGUUCUCUGUGCCGUAGCUAACGCAUUAAGUACCCCGCCUGGGGAGUACGGCCGCAAGGCUAAAACUCAAAGGAAUUGACGGGGCCCCGCACAAGCGGCGGAGCAUGCGGAUUAAUUCGAUGCAACGCGAAGAACCUUAC
rnacentral:rRNA from 1 species